GACGAACGCUGGCGGCGUGCCUAAUACAUGCAAGUAGAACGCUGAAGGAGGAGCUUGCUUCUCUGGAUGAGUUGCGAACGGGUGAGUAACGCGUAGGUAACCUGCCUGGUAGCGGGGGAUAACUAUUGGAAACGAUAGCUAAUACCGCAUAAGAGUAGAUGUCGCAUGACAUUUGCUUAAAAGGUGCAAUUGCAUCACUACCAGAUGGACCUGCGUUGUAUUAGCUAGUUGGUGAGGUAACGGCUCACCAAGGCAACGAUACAUAGCCGACCUGAGAGGGUGAUCGGCCACACUGGGACUGAGACACGGCCCAGACUCCUACGGGAGGCAGCAGUAGGGAAUCUUCGGCAAUGGACGGAAGUCUGACCGAGCAACGUCGCGUGAGUGAAGAAGGUUUUCGGAUCGUAAAGCUCUGUUGUAAGAGAAGAACGAGUGUGAGAGUGGAAAGUUCACACUGUGACGGUAUCUUACCAGAAAGGGACGGCUAACUACGUG
rnacentral:rRNA from 1 species